AAUAGAUCGGCGAGGCUAAUGUGGGAGUCAACAAACUCAUAUUUUUUUUUACUUAUAAAGUAGCCCACAAUUAGUACAUCUCACAUUACAAUCAGAUUGCAAAUUGCAUCACACAAAAUGAAAAAAAUUAUUGCGGUUUUUCUUCUGGUACAACUAGUCGCCGUAUCUUGCCAGGACUAUGUUAAUGAUAAAUCGUGCGAUGAAAUAGUAUGUGAAAAUCCUUUGAUUUGUAAAACUGGCACCAAUCCAUGCGUAGAUAUGUGUGGAAGUACUUCUUGCACCAGGGAAGCUAUCAUUGGAUGUUAUUGCCCAAACGGAUAUUGUCGCAGUAAUAAAACAUGUAUUCUCAAAACUUAAGGAAUUUUAGGUUAUUUUUUAAACCGAAGUAUCAAAUAUAUAUUUAGAAGCAAGCAACGGAGAUUUUUUUUAUACAAAAUUUUAUUUUCGUUUGUAUGCAAAAUUAUAUUUUCUAAAAAAUAUAUGAAUAAUAUCUCA